GUCCUGGAUAUCAGAGGUUGGUCCAGGGUGGGAGGAAGAUGGCAAGAUCCCAGCUAAGCUACGGCGGUUGUGGAGUCUGUGGUGCUUACGGUCCUCAGCGUCAGCUAAGCAGCAUCUGUUGGCAGAGGUGCCCAGCCGGAGGCAAGGUGAUCCGUCACAAGUUCCUUGAUCCAAGGAUAAAUUUGACUGCCAUUCUGGGGUCAAAAAUGAAUUUUAUUCCUAGUUCGUUGCAAAACUGGAAGUGCUUCAAACAGUUUUUGUUUAUUUUUGCCUUCUUUUGGAUCAACAGCAAAAAACAAAAACAA